UUAGCAGGCUACCUUAUCGCGGUUUGAGCAAUCAAAACGAGGAAAGUCCGGACACCAUAGUGCAGUAUAGCGGGUAACGCCCGUCAUUCUUAAUUGAAUAGGACUAGUGCAACAGAAAGUAUGUACAGAUAAUGCUGUAGUGAAACCAGGUAAACUCUAUACGGUGAAACGUCAUGUAUAUCAGCUUUAAGAGCGGCACGCUCGUGCUGAAGGGUAGGCGGUUAGAGCUUUUGGGUAACUAAAAGUCGAGAUAAAUGAUAAGGAAAACCCCGAACCUAGUUUAGGGUUUACAGAAUCCGGCUUAUGGCCUGCUAUUUUU
rnacentral:RNase_P_RNA from 2 species